GGGUGGGGGAAAUGUGGAAAUUGAAGGCCGUUCUCAUUGGUCUUGAAGCUGAGGAGGAGAGCGUACUGCGUGUUCCUAGCUGCUGACGAAGACGCUGACGGCGGGGAUGCUUAGAACGAGGGUGGACGAAGGAAGCUGUGGGAGGAGGCAGGACCCACGCUGCAGAUGAGGAGGCUGCAGGACACGGCCACGGAGAUGAAUAGUCGCCACAGGACCGUAGACACGAGGUGCGGUGCCCUGUGGAGCCUGCCAACAAAUAGUAGUCCCUGGCAAGCCUCCUCCUGUACUGGAUGCAUCAACGCCUGGCACACUGCUGGGACCAUCUAGCUGUCAGUCACACUUCAGGAGCUGUCUGGAAAACCGGGCAGAUUAAGUUCGUCAACUCCGAAGAUUUUACAAAACAUGAUCCUGUAAACUCUGCUUACCGUAUGUCUGGGACAAUUCAAACAAAAUAUACUUAAAGGAAAAUCAAA